rnacentral:rRNA from 1 species
UACACUCCUGCGGGAGGCAGCAGUGGGGAAUAUUGGACAAUGGGCGCAAGCCUGAUCCAGCCAUGCCGCGUGAGUGAUGAAGGCCCUAGGGUUGUAAAGCUCUUUCACCGGUGAAGAUAAUGACGGUAACCGGAGAAGAAGCCCCGGCUAACUUCGUGCCAGCAGCCGCGGUAAUACGAAGGGGGCUAGCGUUGUUCGGAUUUACUGGGCGUAAAGCGCACGUAGGCGGACUAUUAAGUCAGGGGUGAAAUCCCGGGGCUCAACCCCGGAACUGCCUUUGAUACUGGUAGUCUUGAGUUCGAGAGAGGUGAGUGGAAUUCCGAGUGUAGAGGUGAAAUUCGUAGAUAUUCGGAGGAACACCAGUGGCGAAGGCGGCUCACUGGCUCGAUACUGACGCUGAGGUGCGAAAGCGUGGGGAGCAAACAGGAUUAGAUACCCGGGUAGUCC